rnacentral:ncRNA from 2 species
ACUAGACGCUGGGGGAGCUUUGCCCGGGCAAAGCUGAGAUAGGGGGGUAGCCUCUGACCCUUUGCACCUGAACUGGAUAAUGCCAGCGGAGGGAAGCGUUUUACCUGGAGU